GCGCACCAGUCGAGAAUUCUUCCACAAUUGGACGAAAGUCUGAUGGAGCGACGCCGCGUGCGGGAGUGAAGGCCUUAUGGGUUGUAAACCGCUGUCAGGGGAGAAGAACAUCGGAAUGAACAAUACUCAUUCCGACUGACGUUACCCCCAGAGGAAGCUCCGGCCAACUCCGUGCCAGCAGCCGCGGUAAUACGGGGGGAGCAAGCGUUGUCCGGAAUUAUUGGGCGUAAAGGGCGUGUAGGCGGCGAGGUAAGUCGAAUGUGAAAUCUCACGGCUC
rnacentral:rRNA from 1 species